AGGCGUCUGCUGUAGUGGCAACGAAGCGUGAAAAAAAUACUAUGGAGUCCCCGAGGGAAGAGGGAACGUGGAGAUCAGAGCGCCAUCCUCCUGCGGAAAGUAGGCGGCUGCAAAACAUAGUUUCCUGCUGAGAGUUGAGAAGUGCCACAUAAGAAGCCCGAGGUUUCUGUGUCCUUCACAAGCUGAGGAGAGGAGCAAAGAGCAAAAUAACUUAAAACACCUGUGUGGUAGACAAGUGUCCCAACGGAGUGGCUA